rnacentral:rRNA from 1 species
AUUGAACGCUGGCGGCAGGCCUAACACAUGCAAGUCGAACGAGUGGCGGACGGGUGAGUAAUGUCUGGGAAACUGCCUGAUGGAGGGGGAUAACUACUGGAAACGGUAGCUAAUACCGCAUACCAUCGGAUGUGCCCAGAUGGGAGUAGCUAGUAGGUGGGGUAAAGGCUCACCUAGGCGACGAUCCCUAGCUGGUCUGAGAGGAUGACCAGCUAAACUGAAACUGAGACACUGUCCAGCCUCCUACGGGAGGCAGCAUGGUGGAAUAUUGCACAAUGGGCGCAAGCCUGAUGCAGCCAUGCCGAUUGUAUGAAGAAGGCAUUCGGGUUUUAAAGUACUUUCAGCGGGGAGGCGUUACCCGCAUAAGAAGCACCGGCUAACUCCGUGCCAGCCGCCGCGGUAAUAC